CCNCCGCNGCCUCCUACUCCCCCUGUGUGCCCUUGGCCUCCCCACGACUGGCAGUAAUACUCCAUGUGCUCUACGGAGGAAAGCUUUGGCGCCUUGGGAGUGGCGAUCGUCCUAUCAGGUAGUUGGUGAGGUAACGGCUCACCAAGCCGAAGACGGGUAGCGGGUGUGAGAGCAUGACCCGCCGCAUCGGAACUGAGACACUGUCCGGACUCCUACGGGAGGCUGCAGCGACGAAUCUUCCGCAAUGGGCGCAAGCCUGACGGAGCAAUGCCGCGUGUGGGAUGAAGCAUCUUCGAUGUGUAAACCACUGUCAGAAUCUAGGAACACUGACCAGAUUCAGAGGAAGGGCCGGCUAACCUCGUGCCAGCAGCCGCGGUAAGACGAGGGGCCCGAGCGUUAAUCAGAAUCACUGGGCUUAAAGCGUGCGCAGGCGGUCUGGCAAGCAUCUUGUGAAAUCCCCCGGCUCAACCGGGGAACUGCAGGGUGAACUGCCAGACUUGAGGCAGGUAGGGGCUGAUGGAACCAUGAGUGGAGCGGUGAAAUGCGUAGAUAUUCAUGGGAACGCCGAUGGGGAAGCCGAUCAGCUGGGCCUGUCCUGACGCUCAGGCACGAAAGACKUGGGGAGCAAACAGGAUUAGAUACCCUGGUAGUCCACGCCGUAAACGAUGUCUACUUGGAGGUUGUGGCCUUGAGCCGUGGCUUUCGGAGCUAACGCGUUAAGUAGACCGCCUGGGGAGUACGGUCGCAAGAUUAAAACUCAAAUGAAUUGACGGGGCCCGCACAAGCGUGGAGCAUGUGUUCAAUUCGAUGCAACGCGAAGAACCGUUACCUACUCUUGACAUCCAGAGAACUUUCCAGAGAUGGAUUGGUGCCUUCGGGAACUCGUGAGACAGGUGGCUGCAUGGCUGUCGUCAGCUCGUGUUGCUGAAUGUUGGGUUAAGUCCCGCAACGAGCGCAACCCUAUCCUUGUUGCCAGCGAGUAUGUCGGGAACUCCAGGGAGACGUGCCGGUGAUAAACCCGGAGGAAGGUGGGGACCUGACCGAGGGUAUCUGAAUCCCAUGUUUGCAUCCCCCGAGGUCCGUGGGCAGGGCAAGGCACCACAAGGGGCAUGUAGGNGCG
rnacentral:rRNA from 1 species